CCUGGCGGCCGUAGCGCGGUGGUCCCACCUGACCCCAUGCCGAACUCAGAAGUGAAACGCCGUAGCGCCGAUGAUAGUGUGGGGUCUCCCCAUGUGAGAGUAGGGAACCGCCAGGU
rnacentral:rRNA from 1 species